UACAGAGGGGGCAAGCGUUGUUCGGAAUUACUGGGCGUAAAGGGCGCGUAGGCGGCCUGCUAAGUCGAACGUGAAAUCCCCGAGCUCAACUCGGGAACUGCGUCCGAUACUGGCAGGCUUGAAUCCGGGAGAGGGAUGCGGAAUUCCAGGUGUAGCGGUGAAAUGCGUAGAUAUCGAGAGGAACACCUGCGGCGAAGGCGGGUUGCUGGGCUGACACUGACGCUGAGGCGCGAAAGCCAGGGGAGCAAACGGG
rnacentral:rRNA from 1 species